rnacentral:lncRNA from 1 species
AAAAGUUUGAUUAGCCACUGUUACCUAAUAUAGGCUAUCAACUAAUAUUCCUGAACCGAUUCAAUAAGAGUUCAAGAAUAAAUAAAAAAACUCCAUCUCUUAAGUAGAUUUAAAAACUAGUCAUCAAGUUUUCUUGAUGAAACUAAAACUUAUGGGAAAUAGAAGGAACAUAAAGUGUUUGGAAUCAAUCCAAACAAAAUCCACUAUUCGUAAUGAGGAGUUUCGAUGCAUUCACCUAGCACUUUGUUUCUGAUUCCCAUAAAUAAGUACGUAGUUUCACUUGAAUUAAUUUUUGGGAAAAUUACUAAAAUAGAACAAAAAAACAAGAUUGUUGUCCCUUUAGUAUAAAACCAACAUAAAGUUGUCUCAAUAGUAUAAUUUUUCUCAUAAUCCCAAAACUAACCCUAUAUUUAAUCUAAUUAAACACAAUUUAAAAGUUAAUUUGAAUUUUAAAAAAAAAAAGUUAAUGGAAAAAAGGUAAAAAACAGUUGAAAGGCAAUCGAAAAA